rnacentral:lncRNA from 1 species
GUUAAAUUCUGAUUUGAAGUUUUUAAGUUGAACAUUUUUGAAAGCUGAAACUUAAAAGCCUUGGAGUUAUUAAGAAAUUAAAUCAAGUGUUUUACAUAUAUCAUAUCAUUUAGUUUCCAUGACGACUUCAACUACUACUUCUCCAGGAACUCCUGCAAGUCAAUCAAGU